UUUAAUCAGUUAGACAGUGAAAGAAAAAAAGAGGCUAGAUUAAACAGAUACAGCUAGAUUUUAGAUUUCACAGUCCAGUUACUUAGAAUAUAACAGCUUAGACUCUAUAAAGUUGUCAUAUUUGUAAAAGAAGCAAGCCAAAGGCGACUGGAGUUGUUUUAAAGAGGCCUACCUUUCUUCCACCUCUUGUCCAAGUGAUCUGAAAGGUCUCCCGUUGUCUUUAUGGGCAUAAUUCACGAUUACAGGUGCAUUUCCCAUCCUUACCACAAGGAGAUCCACCUGCAAUUCAGUGCACCUUUAAAACUCCCCACGUUUAUAUUUCCUGCAUGAUAAACACGAUCAGAGCGCACGGGGAGUAUCUAACCCAGAAUGUUCGAAGACAAAAGAGGAGGUAAAGUUCAGCCCUCUGUUUAUACUGUGGGGAGUUUUUUGAAGGUGCACUGACUUACAGGUGGAUCUCCUUGUUGCAAGGAGAGAAAAUACACCUGUAUUUGUGCAGGUACAUUCAAUUCUCAGUUCCUUUACCAUCUGUCUUUUGUUUAUUCCUGUGAGUCACUCCUCCACUUUACACACCAUUGACUCCUUACUCUUUGUCUCCCCCCCUCCUCUUAUAUGACUCUGAUGGAUGAUUGUUGUGAGAAGACGGACUCCACACCACCAUGCAUCGUAUGUGCUAGUAACCUCUCCAUGGUGGGGACCCUCUACUGUACAUAAAGUACAUGGGUUGAAGACUUUACUAUAUCCACAUUACUUAGUCAAUUGUUUUAUUGUUCUGAUGUAAUCACAUGUUUUGGUCACCCUUGACUCCAUACUCCUUGUCCCUUUCCACUCCUCUAUCUCUGAUGGAUGAUUGUUGUGAGAAGACAGACUCCACACCACCAUGCAUCGUAUGUGCUAGUAACCUCUCCAUGGUGGGGACCCUCUACUGUACAUAAAGUACAUGGGUUGAAGACUUCACUAUAUCCACAUUAUUUAGUCACUUGUUCUGAUGUAAUCACAUGCUCUAGUCACCCUUGAUUCCUUUCUCUAUCUCCUCCACUUAUAUAACUCUGAUGGAUGAUUGUUGUGAGAAGACGGACUCCACACCACCAUGCAUCGUAUGUGCUAGUAACCUCUCCAUGGUGGGGACCCUCUACUGUACAUAAAGUACAUGGGUUGAAGACUUUACUAUAUCCACAUUAUUUAG